AACGAACGCUGGCGGCGUGCCUAACACAUGCAAGUCGAGCGAGAAAGUUACCUUCGGGUAGCAAGUAAAGCGGCGCACGGGUGAGUAACACGUGGGUAAUCUGCCCUUAGGUCUGGAAUAACCCGGGGAAACUCGGGCUAAUACCGGAUAAGACCACAGAUCGAGAGUGAUGUGGGAAAAGCAGGGGACUCCUUCGGGAGCCUUGUGCCAAAGGAUGAGCCCGCGGCCCAUCAGCUAGUUGGCGGGGUAACGGCCCACCAAGGCUAAGACGGGUAGCUGGUCUGAGAGGAUGAUCAGCCACACUGGAACUGGGACACGGUCCAGACUCCUACGGGAGGCAGCAGUGGGGAAUAUUGCGCAAUGGGCGAAAGCCUGACGCAGCAACGCCGCGUGAGUGAUGAAGGUCUUCGGAUCGUAAAGCUCUGUCGGCAGGAAAGAUGGGCUCGGCAGCUAAUAUCUGUCGGGCUUGACGGUACCUGCAAAGGAAGCACCGGCUAACUCUGUGCCAGCAGCCGCCGUAAGAC
rnacentral:rRNA from 1 species